CAGUUUGACAGUCCUGAUUGUUUAUCCAAAACCUGUGUCAGUGUUAGGUUCCUCUUAAAAUUAUGUAAUAUCACAUGUGGAGGCAUUUGGUGAGUUCAACAGAUUUUCCUGUUGUUCCUGAAAGGUGGCAUAUUUUACUAAACCAUGCAAAUAUUCAGUAAUAGCAAGAUUUUGAAGAUUAUGAUGUUUCUGCUACAGGGUAUGCAGUUUCAAAAUUCAUAGAGUCCAAGGAAACAAGGU